rnacentral:rRNA from 1 species
GAUAAACGCUAGCGGCAGGCUUAACACAUGCAAGUCGAGGGGCAGCAUAGAUUGUAGCAAUACAAUUGGUGGCGACCGGCGCACGGGUGCGUAACGCGUAUGCAACCUACCCGUCACAGGGGGAUAAUCCGGAGAAAUCUGGUCUAAUACCCCAUAACAUAUGGAUCGGCAUCGGUUCAUGUUGAAAUUUUCGGAGGUGACGGAUGGGCAUGCGUAGCAUUAGCUUGUUGGUGAGGUAACGGCUCGCCAAGGCGACGAUGCUUAGGGGGACUGAGAGGUUUUCCCCCCACACUGGUACUGAGACACGGACCGGACUCCUACGGGAGGCAGCAGUGAGGAAUAUUGGUCAAUGGGCGCAAGCCUGAACCAGCCGUGCCGCGUGCAGGAUGACGGCUCUAUGAGUUGUAAACUGCUUUUGUACGAGGGUAAAGUGGGUUACGUGUAACCUUUUGAAAGUAUCGUACGAAUAAGGAUCGGCUAACUCCGUGCCAGCCGCCGCCGUAA